GGUGAAAUGCGUAGAUAUCUGGAAGAACACCGAUGGCGAAGGCAACCUCCUGGGCCUGUUUUGACGCUGAGGCACGAAAGCGUGGGGAGCAAACAGGAUUAGAUACCCUGGUAGUCCACGCCGUAAACGAUGUCAACUAGCCGUUGGGAGCCUUGAGCUCUUAGUGGCGCAGCUAACGCAUUAAGUUGACCGCCUGGGGAGUACGGCCGCAAGGUUAAAACUCAAAUGAAUUGACGGGGGCCCGCACAAGCGGUGG
rnacentral:rRNA from 1 species